UGUUAGUACAAGGAUUUCCCGUUGAUCCAUGCCUUUAAUACUUGAUAUGCCCAAUUUUAAAGUUCGAAAACGAAAAAUGUGGAAUACGUUAGGACAUUAAAUUGGGCUCAAGGAGCAUCGAGUAAAGGGCAAACGCCAGUGGUUUCAUAGACAUGGAUUUGAUAACUGAUACCGCGGUCCAGUUGAAUCCCUUGAGGGACAUCGGGAUCGUCAACUAUUUGAAGUUGGCAUUC